rnacentral:tRNA from 1 species
UGCCGGGUCGUCUAAAGGUAGGACAAUUGCCUCUGGAGCAAUUUAUCUUGGUUCGAGUCCAAGCCCGGCAGCCA